CUCCAAAAUCUCAGCCAGGCUUUCUUCGGUCAAGCAGGCGUGUUUCUUCAAAAUCUCUCCUUUCUUCAGGUUGAAUUCUUCUCUGGCUGAUUUCCAGUUUGGCUCUUCGAGGAUCUGGAAUAUCGCGGCCCCGAUCGAUAGAGCGUCGGAGUAACUCGUAUGAAGUCAAGCAAACUGGGUGGAUCCUGGCUGCUCAGCACGAUAAUGGAUGAGAUGUGUCCUCGGAGUGAGGAUGAUAGAGCAUGUGAAAGUGGGAUGGAAGUAUAUUGAUACUGCUAUUUGUCCAUCUACCUAUUGAAUAAAGAACAAACAAGGAAAUACA